CCAGUCACCCAUCAUACCCACUCUACUAUAUCUGGUCUAGGACAUCACCCAUCAUACCCACUCUACUAUAUCUGGUCUGGGACAUCACCCAUCAUACCCAUUCUACUAUUUCAGGUCAAGGGCAUCACCCAUCAUACCCACUCUACUAUAUCUGGUCUAGGACAUCACCCAUCAUACCCACUCUACUAUAUCUGGUCUGGGACAUCACCCCAGUCACCCAUCAUACCCACUCUACUAUAUCAGGUCUAGGACAUCACCCCAGUCACCCAUCAUACCCACUCUACUAUAUCUGGUCUAGGACAUCACCCAUUAUACCCACUCUACUAUACCUGGUCUAGGACAUCACCCAUCAUACCCACUCUACUAUAUCAGGUCUAGGACAUCACCCAUCAUACCCACUCUACUAUAUCUGGUCUAGGACAUCACCCAUCAUACCCACUCUAGUAUACCUGGUCUAGGACAUCACCCAUCAUACCCACUCUACUAUAUCAGGUCUAGAACAUCACCCCAGUCACCCAUCAUACCCACCCUACUAUAUCAGGUCUAGGACAUCACCCAUCAUACCCACUCUACUAUAUCUGGUCUAGGACAUCACCCCAGUCACCCAUCAUACCCACUCUACUAUAUCUGGUCUAGGACAUCACCCAUCAUACCCACCCUACUAUAUCAGGUCUAGGACAUCACCCAUCAUACCCACUCUACUAUAUCUGGUCUAGGGCAUCACCCCAGUCACCCAUCAUACCCACUCUACUAUAUCUGGUCUAGGACAUCACCCAUUAUACCCACUCUACUAUAUCAGGUCUAGGACAUCACCCCAGUCACCCAUCAUACCCACUCUACUAUAUCUGGUCUAGGACAUCACCCAUUAUACCCACUCUACUAUACCUGGUCUAGGACAUCACCCAAGUCACCCAUCAUACCGACCCUACUAUAUCAGGUCUAGGACAUCACCCCAGUCACCCAUCAUACCCACUCUACUACAUCUGGUCUAGGACAUCACCCAUCAUACCCACUCUACUAUAUCAGGUCUAGGACAUCACCCAUCAUACCCACUCUACUACAUCUGGUCUAGGACAUCACCCAUCAUACCCACUCUACUACAUCUGGUCUAGGACAUCACCCAUCAUACCCACUCUACUAUACCUGGUCUAGGACAUCACCCAUCAUACCCACUCUACUAUAUCAGGUCUAGGACAUCACCCAUUAUACCCACUCUACUAUACCUGGUCUAGGACAUCACCCAUCAUACCCACUCUACUAUAUCAGGUCUAGGACAUCACCCAUCAUACCCACUCUACUAUAUCUGGUCUAGGACAUCACCCCAGUCACCCAUCAUACCCACUCUACUAUAUCUGGUCUAGGACAUCACCCAUAAUACCCACUCUACUAUAUCUGGUCUGGGACAUCACCCAU
rnacentral:lncRNA from 1 species